UUUUAGCCCAGAUUAUAGCGGCAUCCUUUUUCGACGAGGAACGAGGAGAAAAAGAUAUAGCGGAAAGCGGGACGGGUU
rnacentral:sRNA from 1 species